GUUUCCCUGCACAGUGUAACCUAUUCUCUGACUUCAGCGUGGAAACAGUGCGUGGCAUUAAGAACGGCUUCUCCGCGGGAGCAGCGUAAACGUGGACCAAGCGCUCGUGGUGAGAACAGAAGACACGUCCACACGAGUUGCCAUCACCGGCAGGCCGGACUUGGACAGUUGGGGCGGAGGAAGAGGCAAGAAAGAGGGAAGGGAGAUGAGGAGAGGAAGACCAAGGGGGUUAUAGUGCCUCUCCUCCUCCCAUCUUUUCUCCUCCUCAGCUGACAGCUACUGUGUCUCUAAUUGGCAAGUGUGGAUUGGGAAGAGUCUGGCUUAUUCUCCAUGGGACGGAGUAAGGAAGGCAAUAUUGUGGAUUUUUUUUUUCCUGGAAAGGAGCUGGAAGUUGGGAAAGAGGGAAGACAAUAGGUGCUGUCCUUAAAGAUUCGCCUCUACGAUGUAAUCUGAUUCAGGAGCUGAAAGGAUAAUACAGAAGAGGAAGAAAAAAAAAGGAGCUGAAUGGAGUGAGAAAGGAGUGGAAGCGUGGGUGGAGGCGGUCAUUUUGUGCUCCGGUCUCGACCACGGGUAUUCUUGGGUUGAUAAUACAGAUGUGGAUGUUAUUGCUUGAGAAUACGCGUAGUCGAGGGGAAGCUUUAUCAUCAACACUGGAUCUGAUGCGGAGAUCUGUUCUGUAGUGCUGCAGUCCAAACAUUAAGGGAAGGAAUGAAUGGAAAUGUUUGGUCAAUCAGGCUUUUGAAUUACCUUGCCUUGUAAGAGUACUCAUAAACCUUGAGGUUUUCUGCAUUUUGUCACAUUGAAGCCACAAACUUCAAUUAGGUUUAUUGGGAUUAUUAU